rnacentral:rRNA from 1 species
UACGUAGGGCGCAAGCGUUAUCCGGAAUUAUUGGGCGUAAAGAGCUCGUAGGCGGUUUGUCGCGUCUGCUGUGAAAAUCCAGGGCUUAACCCUGGACCUGCAGUGGGUACGGGCAGACUAGAGUGGCGGUAGGGGAGAUCGGAAUUCCUGGUGUAAGCGGUGAAAUGCGCAGAUAUCAGGAGGAACACCGGUGGCGAAGGCGGAUCUCUGGGCCGUAACUGACGCUGAGGAGCGAAAGCAUGGGGAGCGAACAGG